rnacentral:rRNA from 1 species
UACGGAGGGUGCAAGCGUUAUCCGGAUUUACUGGGUUUAAAGGGUGCGUAGGUUGAUUGGUCAGUUAGUGGUGAAAUACUACAGCGCAACUGUGGAACUGCCAUUAAUACUAUCAAUCUUGAAUGCAGUGGAGGCGGGCGGAAUGUGUCAUGUAGCGGUGAAAUGCUUAGAUAUGACACAGAACACCAAUUGCGAAGGCAGCUUGCUACACUGUGAUUGACACUGAGGCACGAAAGCGUGGGGAUCAAACAGG